GUUAUGGGGCGUUAUUCACAUGAGAGACUUAAAAAGGUGUCCACGAAAGACUUCUAAUUUCUCAUGAGAGAAAUCAUGCAAACAAUAAAAUUGUCGUUAAAGUUGAAACCCCACUGGGUUCGAAAAAGAAAAACGUCACGUUAAUUAAGCUUAACAGAAACGAGCUUAUGCAAAGUUAAAUCAUUAGAGUUGUGGCAUUACUGGACAUUUGUUAAAGAAGAGUAACCGCAGAAGAUGUCAAGAUCAAAUUUCGUGCAAAUUCAGGGAUCAAACUAUUAAAUUUGAGUCUUAAGGCUAAGAUCGAUUGGGGUUUAAAGUUUUACAGCACAAAAAAGCUUUGAAUAGUCUUAGUUUUCUUGAGGAGUGACGUUAUUGACAGUAUAGGACUAUGAUCAAUACCAAAAAGAAGAAACCUCCAAUACAAUCUCUUUCAUAUGCAUCUCCAGAAGUAGGUGCUUCGCAAUCUUAGAAAAAGCACAUAGGAUGUGUUCCUCCAGAGGAAAAUCACUUAACCGAAAAAGACCAACCUGAUGAGUGAAUGGAAUAAUAAUACACAACGUACAAUAUGGGGUAGUAAACACAACAAUUGAAGAGGUGAGUACUUUUUCCCUAAAGUUCAGCCUGGGAAGAUAGAACUUUCCCUGGACAUGAAGCGUAUUCUAAGUGGAAACUCUUGCAAUAAAACAAGUAUUGUACUAGCUAAGAGAAAGCAUGGCACCUGCAUCUUUUCAGACAAGAUCUAAAAUCUUUUGAAUCAUUUUUGUAAAACUCCAUUACUGCCUUAACUGCUCAUCGUCUUAAAUGAGGACACAAAAUUUCAAUAUUUAACUUUACUAGAUGCCGUAGAAUAAAGGGUUUUGUGGAAUUACAAGCAUGCAUUCGCUAGAAUAAGAACAGAAAUGCCUAUAUUGUCCUACAAGGCAAAUAAAGUAAGAGCUACUUGUAAUGUAAAAUUAUACUAAAUCGAUAUGUGAUUGAAAAAUCAAAAACCAAUUGCCCAUUGUUUAAAUACUUCAGGCGGAAACUAGAUCCCAAACGGCCACAGUGCUUACUGUCUUUGAUAUGAUUUCAUAAUAUUAGCUCCGUUAAAGGUGUCAUAACUGGGCCUUGUGUAAUAGGUAGCCAUGCCAUAAGAGAGUGCAAGGAUUUAAUGGAGAGGAGACCGUUUCGCAUUUUCUGUCAUCAUGUACUGCUUUUUACACUUCAACGAUCCCAAGGAUCAAAAUCUUACGGAUGUAUAUAGCCUUUAUAGCUUUGUCAGAAGCUUCCAAUGUUUUAUCGAUGGAAUCUAGUAGCACAAUAGGAUUAAAAAUGACUAAGUUUGCCUGAAGUUUUAUCAGAUAAACUUUUAAAAUUAACCCACCUUCUACGUAAAGGUCUCGUCUUCAAAAGAGACAAUCUUUUAUGUUUUUAAGUCAAAAAAACUUUUCCCUUCAUAAGACUAAUUUGGGGAUAUCGGAUAAAAUAUUCAACGGUGUCCCAAGAAAAUUAAUAACUAAUUAUUCGGGUUGCUUAUCUUAUCUUGCAUCUUAGAUUUUAUAUUUCGAACUGAUAUCAAAGGUGGUUCUUGGACGAAUCAAUAAAACGCAUAGUUGAUAUAUUGAUAC